rfam:Triticum aestivum genome assembly, contig: Triticum_aestivum_CS42_TGACv1_scaffold_571920_7AS
CAUAUACUCCCUCCGUCCCAAAAUUCUUGUCUUAGAUUUGUCUAAAUACGGAUGUAUCAAGUCACGUUUUAGUAUUAGAUACAUCCGUAUCUAGACAAAUCUAAGACAGGAAUUUUGGGACGGAGGGAGUACUUU